CGGAGGAUCCAAGCGUUAUCCGGAAUCAUUGGGUUUAAAGGGUCCGUAGGCGGGUUUAUAAGUCAGUGGUGAAAGCCCAUCGCUCAACGAUGGAACGGCCAUUGAUACUGUAGAUCUUGAGUUAUUAGGAAGUAACUAGAAUAUGUAGUGUAGCGGUGAAAUGCUUAGAGAUUACAUGGAAUACCAAUUGCGAAGGCAGGUUACUACUAAUGGAUUGACGCUGAUGGACGAAAGCGUGGGUAGCGGACAGGAUUAGAUACCCUGGUAGUCCACGCCGUAAACGAUGGAUACUAGCUGUUCGGAGCAAUCUGAGUGGCUAAGCGAAAGUGAUAAGUAUCCCACCUGGGGAGUACGUUCGCAAGAAUG
rnacentral:rRNA from 1 species